rnacentral:rRNA from 1 species
UACGGGGGGAGCAAGCGUUGUUCGGAAUUACUGGGCGUAAAGGGCGCGUAGGCGCCUUCUAAGUCGAACGUGAAAUCCCCGGGCUCAACCCGGGAACUGCGUCCGAGACUGGAAGGCUUGAAUCCGGGAGAGGGAUGUGGAAUUCCAGGUGUAGCGGUGAAAUGCGUAGAUAUCUGGAGGAACAUCGGUGGCGAAGGCGGCAUCCUGGACCGGUAUUGACGCUGAGGCGCGAAAGCCAGGGGAGCAAACGGG